AACAGUUUUACCUUCAUCCUCCACAAUUAAUAAUUGACAUAUAUUACAAUUUAUUUUGUUAGCUAAAGAAUGGGAUCCAUAACCAGAUAUGUAAAUUUUAAUGGAAUCAUCAACAACACAAUUGGAUAAAUAUUCAAUUUCAAAGAUUUUCAGAAAACAAGUCACAUCAAUGGAAAGAUCAUGAAGAUUAUUAUUGUUAUCACAAAUUUCAAAUUUAUUUUUGAUUUUAGUAAACGAAAAGAGUCUUGCCAAUUUCGUAAAUAUAUGUUUUAAUCUAAUAUUUUGUUCUGCAUGAAUUGCUUCAUCAUAUGAAACGUGAUAAUUACAACCAGAUAAAGGAUCUUUUCUCUGAAGUAGCACAGUUUUUGUGAAAUAAAACGGGGAAUUGGGAAUAGUGGAUGGUACUGCAUUCGUCAUACGCUUUGGACAUCUCAACAAAACAUUUUGAAAUAUGCCAUUGGAAGAUAGAAUACCCUGGUAUCUUAUAAUAUCAGUCUCUGCAAACUGCAAACUACAGACAGCAGAAUAUUUUGUUGGUGUCUAAUUUCUACGAAGAAUAGCGUCUAUCCAUUUUUUCGCAAUUCCUUAUCUUUAAGGAAUAAAAAUAUAGAGAAUAAAAAUCUGAUCUUGAGGCCAAAAAUAUCUAUGGCUGAAAACACUUGAAAAUACGAUCUUAAACGCAGAAAAAUUUGUGAUUACGACUGCAAUCGCAAUCAAUUUGUGAUUAUCGGUGUAAUCGUAAUCAAGAUCGUAGUCGCAACUCUGAAACAUUUGAUUGUAAUCGUAAUCUCAAUUAUACCUAACUGUAUUAUUCUGAAACUAUUAAAUUGCAUACGUUUGGAAGUAAACUGAGACUUCAAGUCCUUUUUUUUUACUUACAAAUCGUUGUACAGUUAUUUUUAACAAAAUUGUAACGAAAUUGUCUUAAGUAUUUGUCGCUUAACAUAAAUGAAAUAUCUAUCCAUUUUAUGCCAUGUAAUUUUAUUUUCUUUAAAUGUAAGAAUUAAGAUAGAAGAAUAAACAAUUUACUGAGA